rfam:Ovis aries breed Texel chromosome 16, whole genome shotgun sequence.
CCCUGGUUGCUCAGAGGGUAAAGCAUCUGCCUGCAAUACAGGAGACCUGGGUUCGAUUCCUGGGUCAGGAA